rnacentral:pre_miRNA from 1 species
CACUUAACUAUUAAAAGUUUCGUUUUGAUUCCUUAACUUAUUUUUUGGUUUCGUUUUGGUCCUUUAACUUAUUUUUUGGUUUCGUUUUGGUCCCUUAACUCUAAUACAUUCAUCCUAGCAUAAAGGACCAAAGUGGUUGACGGAGGAAGAGUUAAGGGACCAAAACGAAACCAAAAAAUAAGUUAAGGNN